CAUGCCCGCUUUGCUUUCGCCUCCCUCCCUCCCUCCCAAUCCUAAUACAGGUUGAGAAUAAUUCUCAUCUCCUCCACUGCAGCCUGGGCCUCCCUGCACCAGCCUCGGUCUCCCUGCACCAGCCUUUCUCAGGAGGUCUCUCUGUCCUGGUCCGCACCUCCUCUGCUUCUCUCCCGCCUCUCUGUAUUUCUGCUUUUCACCCUUUCUCUCUCCCGCCGCACCGACCGAAGCCGAGUUGAGCUAGGGGAGCCCAAGCGGCGUAGAAAGUCGGGUGAAGGCGGAGCCAAGAACGGAAAGAGCCAUCACUAGAGUCCACGGGGCGUUCUGCUUCCUUUGGGAAGUCGCGGACCCGGGCGUUUCCCGGGACGCUGGCUCUGACGCCUGCGAAGGGCAGGACGGGGCUAAGGCCAUUCCGCUGCCCUUCCAGCUUUGGAAUCACCCAAUGCACGGGUUUCAACCGUAGCCAGCAAGAUGCGCCUCUCCGGUUUUCUGAGGCUUUGGAGCCUGCACAAUUGUUCUACAAAAGGCGGUGGCUCUGCCUAGUGUUGGAUGGGCGCGUGCUCUGCAUGGUGAGGCGGGAGCGACAGUUGACUGUCCAUUCGUGUGUCGCAGUCGGGUGGUGUGCUUGCUUCCAAGUUUGGAGAUGAAGAGUUCCAUACAAAAGACCUACUCCCCUGAGAAGUAGUGAAGUGCUCCUGGGGCCCACCAAGGCCACACAAAUCAAGGAGUGGGUGACCUCACCCUGGCUUCAGCUCAGAGCUGAUUUUGAGAUCACCUUUGCAAAACGACAUCGUGCUGGGAGAUGUCAUCAGGACAAGACCAUAGAUGUGGCUGUCAAAGGAGGCACAGAGGAAAGACUAUGGGAGGACACAGCAAGAAAGUGGCUUUCUGCAAGCCAGGAAGAGAGGCCUCCCCAGAAACCAACCCUGCUAGCACAUCCAACCUCACAAAAGACUCAAGAAGAACUUCUGGCCUCCAGAACUUUGAGAAAAUGUCUAUUGUUAAGCCACGAAAACUUUGUUAUCUUUCUGUGGCAGCCUGAGCUGACUAAUACCUUUGGUAGGUGGGCGGCAUUCACCUAAUUGGGCUAUAUGAUGUGAAGUUAAAGUACCUUUAGCAAUAGGCACCAUCUAAUUUCGUUGUAUAGAUAUUGUGUCUUUUGCAUUGAUAUUGCCUCUCUUAGUUGUAUGUAUAUUGAUGCAUGAGGCUAGGAUUACAAGACUAGUCAAAAUAGGAAGAAAGAAGAGAAAGGUGGUGAAGAUAUGAAGUUCCAUAAUUGCAUCCUCUACCCACAUCCUGUUCUUAGAAUAUUUUCCACUGGAGGCUGCACCUGUAUACCCUCAAAUUCAAUCUGAGCACACAAUUAUUUAUACAAGCAAGGCAACUUUUCCAAUUUUGCCUAUCACCUGCUUGGAGAAACAAGUACUUCAAUCACCAAUUUGAAUAUUCAUUGAGAUAAUUGUUAGGAGGUUGAUAAAAAAUGUGGCAUCUCCCUGUAUUGUUGCCUUCUCCUGGGCCAACAAUGCCGUCUGUACUCUGCUGGUCUGCAUUUGACCACAAACUGGAGUUGCAGCAAAUCUUAGCCUCUUGGGAAGCCUAUUUUUUUUAAUUUUAUUAUUAUUAUAUUUUAAAUUUUAGGGUACAUGUGCACAAUGUGCAGGUUUGUUACAUAUGUAUAUGUGUGCCAUGUUGGUGUGCUGCACCCAUUAACUCGUCAUUUAGCAUUACAUAUAUCUCCUAAUGCUAUCCCUCCUGCUUCCCCCCACCUCACAACAGUCCCCGAAGCGUGAUGUUCCCCUUCCUGUGUCCAUGUGUUCCCAUUGUUCAAUUCCCACCUAUGAGUGAGAACAUGUGGUGUUUGGUUUUUUGUCCUUGCGAUAGUUUGCUGAGAAUGAUGGUUUCCAGUUUCAUACAUGUCCCUACAAAGGACAUGAACUCUUCACUUUUUAUGGCUGCAUAGUAUUUCAUGGUGUAUAUAUGCCACACUUUCUUAAUCCAGUCUAUCAUUGUUGGACAUUUGGGUUGGUUCCAAGUCUUUGC
rnacentral:lncRNA from 1 species